GUCAACGGUCUUCACACAGUGCUUGAUCUCCUCUACGAACAACUGGACACAGUUGCACCACCAAGGAAGGAGGAGGAUGGCUCUCGGUCCCUACCCCUGGGGGAAGUUCCAAUAUCUUACCCAGAUAGGUACCACAGCCUUGUCUCCAGGUACCAUGCCUACUGUAGCUGUCUACAGGCCUUACUCAGUGAGAGUUUCCCCAGCUCUGGUGAAGGUUCCAUCCCAAGCAAUCCUCAAUCUCAUCUGUAGAAUUUUGUCUGUUAAUUGUAAA